AGUUAGGUUACUUAUAUUGGGGGCCUGUCUUCCUUACUAACCUAACCUAACCUAACCCAUUCCUUCCUUCUCGUCAAGCUGUUGGUGGGAGAAGCCCCAGGACUCUCAAGCGUGGGUUGAGUCACAACUGCGGGUGUGCUAGCUCACCUUGAAGUCCGGCGGGGCUCACGUGUUGCAGUGUUGCAGUGUUGCAGAACUUCACCCAAACAAGGGGAGUAUUGUUUUUUUUGUGUUUUGUAUAUAUAUAUAUUUUUUGUGGGGGGGAGGGGGUCUGGGGAUAGCUAUCUGCGGUGUGCGUCUGUGCGUGCGUCUGUGUGUGUGUGCGUCUGUGUGUGCGUCUGUGCGUGUGCGUCUGUGCACGUGCGUCUGUGUGCGUGCAUCUGUGUGUAUGUCUUUUUUUUGGUUGUGUGUGUGUGAAUUCUUUUUUGGUAUAAAUAUAUAGGUGGCAGGCCAUAGUGUUAGGAUAUUUGACACAGAUUAAUAUAGAAGAUGGUUUAGGUUAGUUAAGGGUUAAGUGAGGCAUAGAGAGAGAGAGAGAGAGAGAGAGGGGAAGACAGAUAUUAAUAGGAUUAGCUUAUAUUUUUUUUAGGGUUUUAAGUAAGUAUCUAGGUGGCAGGUCAGAAUGAUAUAAUAUUUAACACAGAUUAAUAUAGAAGAUGGUUUUAAGUUAGUAUAUAUCAAAGGGUUAGAAAGGGUUAAUAGUAUUAGGAUGACAGGAGUAUAUAUGAAAGAGUUAAGUGAGGCAUAGAGAGAGAGAGAGAUAGGGUUAUUAAUAGGAUGACAGGAGUAUAUAUGAAAGGGUUAAGUGAGGCAUAGAAAGGGUUAUUAAUAGGAUUAGGAUGACGGGGUGUAUGAAUGUUUAACUCAGAUUAUAUUGAAAGUUUAUUUCUUUAUAAUCUGGGUUUGUAUGGCAUGUUGAAUUAUUAGUAUGUUAUUUUUGUAGUGGUGGUAGUGGUGGU